AGAGUGAACGCUGGCGGCAGGCCUAACACAUGCAAGUCGAACGGCAGCACAGGGGAGCUUGCUCCCUGGGUGGCGAGUGGCGGACGGGUGAGGAAUACAUCGGAAUCUACCCAGUCGUGGGGGAUAACCGUCGGGAAACCGGGACUAAUACCGCAUACGACCCACGGGUGAAAGCGGAGGACCGCAAGGCUUCGCGCGAUUGGAUGAGCCGAUGUCGGAUUAGCUUGUUGGCGGGUAACGGCCCACAAGGCGACGAUCCGUAGCUGGUCUGAGAGGAUGAUCAGCCACACUGGAACUGAGACACGG
rnacentral:rRNA from 1 species